AUUGAACGCUGGCGGCAGGCCUAACACAUGCAAGUCGAGCGGGGUUUUCGGACCUGGCGGCGGACGGGUGAGUAAUGCGUAGGAAGCUACCCGAUAGAGGGGGAUACCAGUUGGAAACGACUGUUAAUACCGCAUAAUGUCUACGGACCAAAGUGUGGGACCUUCGGGCCACAUGCUAUCGGAUGCGCCCACGUGGGAUUAGCUAGUUGGUGGGGUAAUGGCUCACCAAGGCGACGAUCCCUAGCUGGUUUGAGAGGAUGAUCAGCCACACUGGAACUGAGACACGGUCCAGACUCCUACGGGAGGCAGCAGUGGGGAAUAUUGGACAAUGGGCGCAAGCCUGAUCCAGCCAUGCCGCGUGUGUGAAGAAGGCCUUAUGGUUGUAAAGCACUUUAAGCGAGGAGGAGGCUUCUUUGGUUAAUACCCAAAGUAAGUGGACGUUACUCGCAGAAUAAGCACCGGCUAACUCUGUGCCAGCCGCCGCCGUAAUAC
rnacentral:rRNA from 1 species